GUGAGGAAUAUUGGUCAAUGGGCGAGAGCCUGAACCAGCCAAGUAGCGUGAGGGAUGACUGCCCUAUGGGUUGUAAACCUCUUUUAUAAGGGAAUAAAAUGGUCCACGUGUGGACUUUUGCAUGUACCUUUUGAAUAAGGAUCGGCUAACUCCGUGCCAGCAGCCGCGGUAAUACGGAGGAUCCGAGCGUUAUCCGGAUUUAUUGGGUUUAAAGGGUGCGUAGGCGGACUGAUAAGUCAGCUGUGAAAGUUUGCGGCUCAACCGUAAAAUUGCAGUGGAAACUGUCAGGCUUGAGUGUACAUAAGGUAGGCGGAAUUCGUGGUGUAGCGGUGAAAUGCUUAGAUAUCACGAAGAACUCCAAUUGCGAAGGCAGCUUACCGGGGUACAACUGACGCUGAGGCACGAAAGCGUGGGUAUCAGACAGGAUUAGAAACCCGUGUAGUCC
rnacentral:rRNA from 1 species